rnacentral:tRNA from 1 species
GCCUCCGUAGCUUAAAAAAAGCACUG